GUGUCAGCAGCCGCGGUAAUACGGGGGGGGUAAGCGUUGUUCGGAAUUACUGGGCGUAAAGGGCUCGUAGGCGGCCAACUAAGUCAGACGUGAAAUCCCUCAGCUUAACUGGGGAACUGCGUCUGAUACUGGAUGGCUUGGAUCCGGAAGAGGGAUGCGGAAUUCCAGGUGUAGCGGUGAAAUGCGUAGAUAUCUGGAGGAACACCGGUGGCGAAGGCGGCAUCCUGGGCCGGUAUUGACGCUGAGGAGCGAAAGCUAGGGGAGCAAACGGGAUUAGAUACCCCCGUAGUCC
rnacentral:rRNA from 1 species